rnacentral:lncRNA from 1 species
GGCGCGGACCCUGGGCCCCGACCCCGCGGUCGCCGGGGCUCCCCUUCCUCUGUCCCAGUGCGCCCAGCCCCGCGCUCCGCACCCGGGCACCCCCGCGGGGUUCUCCUGAGUUCCUGGAGCUCCCGGGGCUGGCGCUCACGCCGUGAGAGGGGUGCGCCCUUAGGGGGGCGGGACGGACGGGGGGUUUCUACGGGAGGUAGGAAACGGGCGGCUUGCAAGGCGCGGGCUUAGGCCGGAGCCUGGUGGUGCGAGGUCCCCAGCUCGGAUUUCUCCCUGGUGGAGAGUCCCGGAGCAGAACAAACCAGCAGAGGCUCUGGAAAGGGUCCUCCUGAGCACGUGGCUCAUUCAUUCAUUCGACAAACGUUACCUGAGCGCCUGCCCACUCAUUGCCCGAGUGUGCUGGGAGCGCCGCACCAACUGCCUGAAAAGAGAGGUUAAAACCAAGACAUGGACAAAGCCUCCGAAUGAAGGCAGCCCUUUAAAUGGAAUAAAUUUGGUUUCAUGGCACAUUAAUGGGGUGUCUUCUCUCCGAAGACACAGAGACAACUACAGUAGGUCUGGGGGCCGUCAGGGAUUGGAGGAACGAAGGUAAGAAAAGGAAGAAGGUAAGAAAAAGAGGUCCCUACCUCUGUGAGGUAGGGACAGUGCUGAACAGCAGGGCUGGGAGAGCCCACAGGGAGGUGGCCAGGAUGGCCACAGGGCCUGGGGAGGACCAGGUGGGGCACCAUCCUGCGGUAGAGAAUGCCCGUCACCUGCCCUAGGGGCCACCCAGAAUGCAGAUUAAAUAAGUAUUUGGGAAUGGCACAGGAGCUUUUCCAUUUUCGUGGGUUAGAGGAAAGCUGCUGCGUUCAAGAGGAUAACGUGGGACCUGAGCAUUCUGGUAAGUCAACCCCACAUUCAUGGAAAGCCACGGGCUCUGUUUUACUGAUAAGGAACUGAAGUCCCACAGAGGAAGUGGCCAGGCUCACUCACACACAGCAUGCACUUGAAGCUUUCUGUGGAAAUCAGAAACCUCCGGGGCUCAGGCGCUGUAGUGGUGGCCUGGUGACUCUGACCCCUUGAAGGAGAAGCAUCUGUGAAGGUGCUGUCCAGGACAAGUAGGGUGCUCUACGGUAAAGGACAUGGUGGCCUGACCUGCUCCAGAGCAGGGAGGCCUCCCUUGAGGAAAUAAGAUAAACCCAGACUUUAAGGAUAAGCAGAAACCAGCUAGGUGAACUGGAGUGGGAACAGCACGUGAAAAGGCCCUGGUUUAGGAAGGAGCACCACUCCUUCAGAGCACAGAAAGGCCAGGAUGGCCGAAGCAUAGGGAACAACAGGAAAGUGACAUAAAUUGAGGCUGCAGAGGUAGAAGAAGGGCCUUAUUGGUCGUGCUAGGAAUUUGGAAUUCUGCAAAGAAGCCUGGGAAACAGAUUUUGGUGACACUCGCCUUCUCUUUAAUGUGCAGUUUCAGUUCUGUUGGUGUGAUUCUGCAUUGGAGAUGGCGUGCUGUAACGAAUGGCCAGGAGCUUAAGAGUCAUGCAGACUUGGGAGGCCUGGCCUUGCCACGCCCAGCUGCAUGGCCAUCCUCCUCCUGUUUCUGGCCGUUCUGUUUCUAAACCUUGGGGUUCUGAUAUUCCUACAUGUAAACUAGGGGCUGUAAUAGGAAUCUCACAGGUGAGUCUUAGGAUUAUAAGAGGAGACAUGACUGCAUGUGUAAGACAUCAUAAUGAUGUGCUUCCUCAUCUGACCCUACCUCCAGGUUCUUUGAUAACCUCAUGGUUCCCAUUUUCUAGAACAGUUGCCACUUGCACUCAGAUAAAGGUGACUCACUGAAUGCAUAAAUAAGUGUAGUGCCGGAUUUGCAUACUUUUGGUAGACUGUCAUAUAAUAAAUUUAUAAAUCAGAAUUUUAAAACUCCAGGUGGGGCCGGGCACAGUGGCCCAUGCUUGUAAUCCCAGCCAGCAUUUUGGGAGGCUGAGGCAGGCAGAUCACUUGAGGUCAGGAGCUCGAGGUCAGCCUGGCCAACCAGGGUUUUAGUAGAAACCCUGUCUGUACUAAAAAUACAAAAAUUAGCUGGGCGUGGGUGCGCAUACCUGUAGUCCCAGCUACUCAGGAGGCUGAGGCAGGAGAAUUGUUUGAACCCAGGAGGUGGAGAUUGCAGUGAAGCAAG